CUGGAAAGUUUGAUGGAGGUAUCAGAAGUGAGAAUGCAGGUAUGAGUAACGAAAAAAUGGGUGAGAUUCCCAUUCGCCGAAAACCUAAGGUUUCCUGGGUAAAGGUCGUCUUCCCAGGGUUAGUCGGUCCCUAAGGCAAAGCUGAAAAGUGUAGUCGAUGGGAAACGGGUUAAUAUUCCCGUACCUCUUAUAGUUUCGAUGGAGUGACGCAUGAGGUUAACUACUGCUAGGCGAUGGUUGUCCUAGUUUAAGCAUUAAGGUGAUGAUCUUGAUAGGAAAAUCCGUUAAGAGAGCUAAGAUGUGAUGAUGAGUGCUAUUUAGGUAGCAUGAAAUGUAGGUAGUCAAGGUGCCAAGAAAUAGCUUCUAAGGUUAGGCUAUAAGGGACCGUACCGCAAACCGACACAGGUAGGUGGGAUGAAAAUUCUAAGGCGCGCGAGAGAAUCCACGUUAAGGAACUCUGCAAAAUACGUACGUAACUUCGGGAUAAGUACGACCUAAGCAAUUAGGUAGCAUAAAAAUGGUCCAAACGACUGUUUACCAAAAACACAGGUCUCUGCAAAUCUGUAAAGAGAAGUAUAGGGACUGACACCUGCCCGGUGCUGGAAGGUUAAGAGGAGAUGUUAGUUUAUGCGAAGCAUUGAAUUUAAGCCCCAGUAAACGGCGGCCGUAACUAUAACGGUCCUAAGGUAGCGAAAUUCCUUGUCGGGUAAGUUCCGACCCGCACGAAUGGUGUAACGAUUUGGACGCUGUCUCAACGUGGAGCUCGGUGAAAUUGAAGUAUCGGUGAAGAUGCCGAUUACUUGUGGUUAGACGGAAAGACCCCGUGAACCUUUACUAUAGCUUGGUAUUGAGAUUUGAUUAAAUAUGUGUAGGAUAGGUGGGAGACUUUGAAGCUAUCUCGUCAGGGGUAGUGGAGUCAAUCUUGAAAUACCACCCUUGUUUAAUUAGGUUUCUAACUUAUAGAAAUAUGAGGAGAGUGCCAGGUGGGUAGUUUGACUGGGGCGGUCGCCUCCUAAAGAGUAACGGAGGU
rnacentral:rRNA from 1 species